GGAGGCGUGUCCGGUCUGGUGACCGGCGCGGUCUUCAAAACCGUGGAACGGCAGACGCUGCCGCUGGCGGGUUCGAUUCCCGUCCGCCUCC
rnacentral:tRNA from 23 species